GAGUGCACCGCCAAAGGGACGAGCAUCUUAGAUGAUCGUAGCCAUCCGGCUUUCGGCCGAUGGAGAGCGCAAAUUCGCCGACCUGACAGGAACGUCUUAGUCCGGCUUCGUCGGCGUCUCGUUCGAAGAAGACAAAGGCGGUCGGCUGCGUCUCGUUCGAAGAAGACAAAGGCGGACCGAGUGCUUACCACGUCCUGAUCGUAGCCGGAGCGCGCACAAAGAGGUGGAGCCGAUGGGAUCUUGGAUGAGCGCUUGGUCGUGCUGCAGCUCGCGGACUUGACGCCUCUUGAACUUGAGCUUCUCCUCCAGCGAUCGCUUCUGCUCCUCGAGACGCAGCCUCUCCUCGUGUUCAGCGCCUGCGUGAGCGCACGGCAGCCGUGCUCAUGGGAGGCGCGGGGACGCACGCGCGUACCCUCCGAGCCGCACGCACACGGGCCCGGCACUCACCUUGAUCACAUAGUAAGCCUGCGAUUUAUCCUCAUCGCCCUCCGGGGGGGCCAUGGCGACCGUCAAGAUCUCGUACCUCUUGCGCAUCUUGUCCACCUUCGAGAGCCUCUCGUGCAGCUCAGCGCUGGAAACGAUCGCGACACAACAACAACAACAUCAACAACAACAACAACAGCAACAAGAACAACAACAGCAUUUUUCGAUUUAAAGCUUUCGUGACUGCAGGGAUUCAUCUUCUUGGUUCUUUCGCUAAAGUCUUCAGACUCUGUCUACUUGAUGGACCUGUUCUCCACCUGAGGACGGCUGCUUGCGUUGUGGCCGAAACGUCGUGAGAAUUGUUUUAUUAUGUUUUAUUUUUAUUAUUUUAUUACUUCCCUUCUACGUGACUUUACCGAAAGAACCAAGAAGACAACAACAUCAACAACAACAACAUCAGGCGGGCGACGCAGGGCGCUUUAGGCUGCUGCGACGUUGGGGAACGGCAACCGGUGGUGCAUCAGCCAGUCAUCUCGGUCAUCUCAAUCAGUCGACCCGUGGCAACUGGGUCUGCCCCGUGACCUCCUGCCAGCGGGCGUUCGACACUUCACGUGGUAGCCUCAAGGCCGCGCUCCAGAGUCAGCAGCUCAUGCUUGCGAGCGUCGUUCUCCAGCGAGCGCUCCUUCAGCGCCGUCUGCAGCGCCUGCUGCCGCUUCUCCAGCGACAGGACCCCGUCGGCGCUUGCGGCCACCAGCGCCCGCAC